UAGGGAAUCUUCCACAAUGGGCGAAAGCCUGAUGGAGCAACGCCGCGUGUGUGAUGAAGGGUUUCGGCUCGUAAAACACUGUUGUAAGAGAAGAAUGACAUUGAGAGUAACUGUUCAAUGUGUGACGGUAUCUUACUAGAAAGGAACGGCUAAAUACGUGCCAG
rnacentral:rRNA from 1 species